rnacentral:rRNA from 1 species
UACGUAGGGUGCGAGCGUUAAUCGGAAUUACUGGGCGGAAAGCGUGCGCAGGCGGUCGUGCAAGACAGGUGUGAAAUCCCCGGGCUUAACCUGGGAACUGCGCUUGUAACUGAUAGGCUUGAGUGUGGCAGAGGGGGGUGGAAUUCCAGGUGUAGCAGUGAAAUGCGUAGAGAUCUGGAGGAACACCGAUGGCGAAGGCAGCCCCCUGGGCUAACACUGACGCUCAUGCACGAAAGCAUGGGUAGCAAACAGG